UCCCUUUAAGCUGCGCGCGUGCGCAAUUGCGCACUGCUGACACGGUCUCCGCGCACAGAAAAUCUGCUGCGCACAAAAAAAAAAAAAUCCAACCUAAAUUGUAAAUAAAAUAAACACGUAACAAUUCAUUCUGUGCUAUUUUUCAGUGUGAGUCAGUGAGUGACCGGUGACUGGCUGCUGCAGCCAAUGAUACGAUUCACAUACGUAUUUACCAUAGACUGUAUAUAAUGGUAUUUACGCAGCUAAUCUACGUCAGGCGUCCUUAUGUGCAGCUACCGCUGUUCUCAUAGAUAUGAAUGAGUAGAUAGGACACGCCCCUUUGAGCUGCGUGCUACAGCGAGGCUAAGCUAGUGGGGGCAAAGUUUCAGUGCAUUCCGUUGAUGUAGACGGUGUGAAAACGGAAACAAGAAGUAUGCCGGCUCACUGUGCUGCAUACAGUUACACACUGCGUCGUACGAUUGAGACAAGGAAACUUGGAAUGACUUUUCAUAGGUUUCCCAGAGACUAUGGGUUGAGGAGGAAUUGGAAGUUUGUCGGCUUAGACCUGGUGUCAUUCCAUCAGUGUUAAACUUCCCGGCUCAUCUUGGAAGAGUACGUGCCAGAAAGACCACGACCAAGCAGCCUUGAGAUCUCAGACAGCGUCUCUCUGAGGUCCCUCUCUGUCUCCCCACACAUCCACCAACCACUGGAACACAUCUCCAAAGUUCUGCUGGGCCAGCUCAGCUUCCCCUCAGAAGAAGUGCUGCCACCUUCCAGAUGAAGGAGCCUUUUGAGAGGCAGCUGGCAUCGUGAUUGGACUGUACUUUGGUCUGUUCCAAUCCAGCUUCAGCUCCAGAGACGGCAGGCGGGACGAGUCAACGGAGGCCUGGUGGACGAAGACAUGCAGCUGAGUACAAUCCAGAAAACAACAGAGGAGGAGUGCAGCAGCCCAGAGCCAGAACAACCAGAGUAGCAUCGUAUGUCUCUUAGAAAACAUCAUAGUAUAGCCUUUGGGAUGAAAACACACCAUCAUAUACAUCGUAUAUUGUACAAAUAACAAGUCAAAGGAAAGAGACAUAAAUUAUUAGGGCGGCUGUGGCUCAGGUGGUAGAGCGGGUAGUCCAAUGAUCGAAGGAUCGGCGGUUCGAUUCCGGCUCUGUCCUAGCUGUUGUGUCCUUGGGCAAGACACUUUAUCCACCUUGCUUCCAGUGCAACUACUCACACUGGUGUAUGAAUGUUGGUGGUGGUCGGAGGGGCCGUAGACACAGAUUGACAAAUAAAGUUUUCUGUUAGAGUUUGUGUUCUUCUCAGUUUAACUCAAGAUUUUAAAUACUUUCAUUUACUGCAAAUGAAUAUCUACUCCAAAUGUCUCACUAAUAAUCAUUAUCAGCCUUAAAAACCCACAAAACACCCCUCUAUACUCCACCACACUUAGUACAGUCCGGUUCCCCCUUCUAUAAAUCUGCUUGGAAUCUUCCACUUCCUGUUUGUCAAAGUGGCCUUCUACCUGGACAGGUUUUGUUGGAGCUCAUGCAACAAACAUUUUGGGUAACUGCACUUUAAUAUGGAUGGAUGACACUGAAUUAGAGUCUGUUUUAAUGACUGAGUUAAGAUGUGUAGCUCUGUCAUUAAAUAGGAAAUUAUUUCUCAGAAUUCACAGAGAAAAGUCUGAAAUGUUUGCUAGGUUAGCGUCCCACAUGUUCUUUGGCUCAGUUAAAGCUAACUCUCUCCAACUUCUGGAUCUCUUGAGUUGCUUGUUGUUAAAAUAUCUUGCUAGAGGUGCUGAAGCUCAGAAAGUCUGAGAUGUUUCUUCAAAAUAAGCUCAUUCUCAAGUCUUAUCUGAACUGUCCUCUUUUGUUUGAACUUUCCCUAAACUUAGGAGUUAAUGACAGAGCAGCACAUCCAGACUCAGUCUCAUUUAUGUAGAGAUUAAACUUCAGUGUCAUUCAUUGAUGUUAAAGUGCAGUUUUUCAAAUGUUUGUUGCACAUGCUCCCGACCAAAGCAGUCCAGGUGGAAGAUGAUGUGAAGAGAAAGCUCCAGAGGAUGAAUAUCACACAUUUAUGUUGGAAAUAAAUGUCCUUUAAUUAGACAUUGUCAUGCAAAAGUUGAAUUUCCCUUUAAUGAUGUUCAAAUCUUUGUUGAGUGUUUUGUUGAUGUUGUUUCUAAAUGUUUUCUGACACUCUGCCCCAAAGAUUAAAACCUUCUACGGCUCACAAGCUGCAACAAUUCACACAUUAUCAACUAUCUUUCUGACUAAACUAAGAUAAAAAUUGAAAACCUGCUUGAUUCCUGCAUCAUGAAUGUAAAUCUUUUUGGUUUUUAUGAUCGUAAACAGUAUAUUUGGGCUUGACAUUUUAUAAACCAAAACAAGAAAUGAAUUAGUGGAGCAAACAAUCAACAGAUUAAUGGACAAAGAAAAUGCGUUUUCUAACAUAUAUGGCU